rnacentral:lncRNA from 1 species
AAGCCAAACAAGCAAUAUAAAAUCAAGAAGUGUAGAAUAUAUCUUGAUGGUACCUUGCUGAAAAUUUUUAGCACUUGGGAUCUUCAACUUCUCAUGCUUGGAACCGCUUCCUCACUAUCGUGGCUCUGAUACCAACUGUUGGAGCACGAUCCCGACUCCUCCCACGGACCUUGGGUGCAGCGGAACCAGCAACAAACAAAUCUGGAUACUUCUGGACUCGAUAGAAGGUCCUUGACGAAAUCAGAUCUGAGAGAUUCCAGAUCUGAGAGGAACUUGUACCAACCUCUUUGUAAGAGAUUCCAGGUCCUGGACCUGAUGUUUGGACGGCUGCAAGAGAAGGGAGAGGCUUGGUGCUUGGCGGCACAAAGGAGAAGGGGCUAGUGCCUCCCCUGCUUUUCCUGCCUUUUUGGGACCUGGCGGCAAGAAAUCCUAGGGUUUCUUGCUCCUGGGGCGUGGAGAAUAGUUGGAGAGAGAGGAAGAAGAGAGAGAGAG